AUCUAUACUGUGAAACUGCGAAUGGCUCAUUAAAUCAGUUAUCGUUUAUUUGAUAGUACCUUACUACUUGGAUAACCGUGGUAAUUCUAGAGCUAAUACAUGCUAAAAACCCCGACUUCGGAAGGGGUGUAUUUAUUAGAUAAAAAACCAAUGCCCUUCGGGGCUCCUUGGUGAAUCAUGAUAACUUAACGAAUCGCAUGGCCUUGCGCCGGCGAUGGUUCAUUCAAAUUUCUGCCCUAUCAACUUUCGAUGGUAGGAUAGUGGCCUACCAUGGUAGCAACGGGUAACGGGGAAUUAGGGUUCUAUUCCGGAGAGGGAGCCUGAGAAACGGCUACCACAUCCAAGGAAGGCAGCAGGCGCGCAAAUUACCCAAUCCCGACACGGGGAGGUAGUGACAAUAAAUACUGAUACAGGGCUCUUUCGAGUCUUGUAAUUGGAAUGAGUACAAUUUAAAUACCUUAACGAGGAACAAUUGGAGGGCAAGUCUGGUGCCAGCAGCCGCGGUAAUUCCAGCUCCAAUAGCGUAUAUUAAAGUUGUUGCAGUUAAAAAGCUCGUAGUUGAACCUUGGGCCUGGCUGGCCGGUCCGCCUCACCGCGUGUACUGGUCCGGCCGGGCCUUUCCUUCUGGGGAUCCGCAUGCCCUUCACUGGGUGUGUCGGGGAACCAGGACUUUUACUUUGAAAAAAUUAGAGUGUUCAAAGCAGGCCUUUGCUCGAAUACAUUAGCAUGGAAUAAUAGAAUAGGACGUGCGGUCCUAUUUUGUUGGUUUCUAGGACCGCCGUAAUGAUUAAUAGGGAUAGUCGGGGGCAUCAGUAUUCAAUUGUCAGAGGUGAAAUUCUUGGAUUUAUUGAAGACUAACUACUGCGAAAGCAUUUGCCAAGGAUGUUUUCAUUAAUCAGUGAACGAAAGUUAGGGGAUCGAAGACGAUCAGAUACCGUCGUAGUCUUAACCGUAAACUAUGCCGACUAGGGAUCGGGCGAUGUUAUUAUUUUGACUCGCUCGGCACCUUACGAGAAAUCAAAGUCU
rnacentral:rRNA from 2 species